UACGAAGGGGGCUAGCGUUGUUCGGAUUUACUGGGCGUAAGGCGCACGUAGGCGGAUUGUUAAGUCGGGGGUGAAAUCCUGGAGCUCAACUCCAGAAUUGCCUUCGAUACUGGCUUUCUAGAGGCUGGAAGAGGUUAGUGGAAUUCCCAGUGUAGAGGUGAAAUUCGUAGAUAUUGGGAAGAACACCAGUGGCGAAGGCGGCUAACUGGUCCAGAUCUGACGCUGAGGUGCGAAAGCGUGGGGAGCAAACAGG
rnacentral:rRNA from 1 species